rnacentral:lncRNA from 1 species
UGCCAACAUUGUUUCAGGAAGAUUUUACAACACCAGCUGUCAGCUCUAGAUAUACUGUUGCCACUUUCGACUUCAUCUAGAAGUGUCCUUCUACCCAAUGCUCUCAACCGCGAUUGAAAAAUACUACAUAAAAUGAGUCUCGGAUCUCUGCCCACCUUAUGUGUUUUGGCGUUUAAAAACCUCUCCCAUGGAUUGGCUCUCAGUCCUUAGGGGUGUGCUUAACAUACGUCAAUCUUCAAGACAACUAAUAUCCCUUAAUGAUUAGGAACCUCGAUUUUUUUUUCCAAGAAAAUAACCAUAUAACUAAAUCAUUAAACUUCCCUUAAGU